rnacentral:lncRNA from 1 species
GCGAUGAUAAACAUGUUAACUGGCGUCCAAUCCUCCACUGACUUGGAUAGUGGUGUAACAGUACAACAUAAGAGAAAACUAAACAAUCAGUUGAAAAGGCUUAACUCAUCAGGUGGAUACAAUUAAAAAUAAUUUGUACACAAAAAAAGUGAACGUGGGAGGGUACUUGUACAUCCCAAAAACAAAAUCCUAAAUUAAAUAGUCACCAAAUUAAGAUCUGGAAGUAGUCGCAAGUACUGAAAGCUAUUUCAAAGCCAAAACAAUUAAAAAAAAAAUCAUGCAUCUAAGACUAAUUUAUCAGUUAAUGCACAUCCCACAUCCAAUGGGUUAAGUGUGAAGAAGUCUUAAACAGUAGAUUUUUUUCUAAUGUUGUUAGAACAUUGUGGACAUAUUAUUUUUGAUCCCGAUGAUUUCAUAUAUUUAGCUUAGCCGUAUUUGGCAUAACUUUCCUUUUUGAUCCUUAAUGCUCUUCAACUUUGUGCUUGUUUCAAACGGCUUUUUAAAUGUUUUGAUAUGAGCGUCACUGAUGAGUAUUAUGAAGACGA